rnacentral:tRNA from 1 species
GGUGACUCAGUGGUAGGGUGCUUGCCUUGCAUGCAUGAGGCCCUGGGUUCAAUUCCUCAGUACCA